CCGGCUGCACGGGUGGUGCGGGCGCUGUGGCCUGGCGGGUGUGCCUUGUCCUGGAGGCUGGGCGGCCGCCCCCAGCCGCUGCUCCCCACGCAAAGCCGGGCUGGCUUCGCGGGGGCGGCGGGCGGCCCGCGCGCCGUGGCUGCAGCUCGUAAGGGGAGCCCGCGGCUGCUGGGGGCGGCGGCGCUGGCCCUGGGGGGAGCCCUGGGGCUGUACCACACGGCGCGGUGGCACCUGCGCGCCCAGGACCUCCACGCAGAGCGCUCAGCCGGGCAGCUCUCCCUGUCCAGCCGCCUGCAGCUGACCCUGUACCAGUACAAGACUUGUCCCUUCUGCAGCAAGGUCCGAGCCUUCCUCGACUUCCACGCCCUGCCCUACCAGGUGGUGGAGGUGAACCCUGUGCGCAGGGCUGAGAUCAAGUUCUCCUCCUACAGAAAGGUGCCCAUCCUGGUGGCCCAGGAAGGAGAAAGCUUGGGACAGCAGAUAUGAAAUGCCUGGCACAGUGCUUGGGGUCUAGUAUGUAGCUUCCAGAACCCACCCUGCCCCUCUACCUGGGAGGCCAAAUGGCAACAACUGAACGACUCCUCUGUCAUCAUCAGUGCCCUCAAGACCUACCUGGUGUCGGGGUAAGGAGCCCCUCGGAGACCAGGUGGCCAUUGCUUUUGGUGGCUUCUUCCUCCAGGGAGGCCUCCCCUGAGUUCCCUCUUGGGAGCAGGUGGAGCUGCUGCUUAGAUUUCCAGAGUACGGAGUGGUUUGCACCUGUAAUCCCAGCACUUUGGGAGGCCGAGGC
rnacentral:sRNA from 1 species